UCCUUUUACUUUAAGUUCUAUUUAUACCUUACUCUAUAUGUUAACCAGUCUUGCCAUGUUUUUUCGUGCCAACCUUCUCUUCCUUCUAUUUUAUUUACUAUUCUUUCGUAUUGGUACGUCUUAUCUACUCUUUCUUGCACUUCCGAGACAUUUGGUGGAAGUAUUUUUUUCCAAUUUUGAGCAAUGCUUAUUUACGCAGCGAU